AAACCCGAAAGGUCGAAAGGGGAAAUUCAUUCGCGUUUCGAUGAUCGAAGGCUGGCGUGUUUAUGACGGAUCGUAUAUUUUUAUAUUGUUCGCAUAUCACGUUCGUUUAAUCGAUUUCGAACGCGUGCACUUUUCCUCCAGUAGGACGUCGCGAUCCGUUGGGUGUCUGUCUAAGAAUUGAGGUGGAGACCAUGUGGCUUUUUAGUUGCUUGGACCCUUGAAUUUCCGACAGACUCGCUCGACGGUAUAACGAUGGCGCAAGGCCGCUACAUUCAGUUAGCGUUCGGCCCGUAGCAAGCGCGUUCUGUGUUUGACGGCAAUUCGGACCUAGCGCCGAUUCCGUUCCAGAACGACUGUUGGUUGCGGUGCUCUCGAACAGACCUUGUUGAAACGCCGAUCAGCGACGAUUUAGCUUUGGGUACUUUCAGGACCC
rnacentral:rRNA from 1 species